rnacentral:rRNA from 1 species
AGCGAACGCUGGCGGCAGGCCUAACACAUGCAAGUCGAACGAACCUUUCGGGGUUAGUGGCGGACGGGUGAGUAACACGUGGGAACGUGCCUUUAGGUUCGGAAUAACUCAGGGAAACUUGUGCUAAUACCGAAUGUGCCCUUCGGGGGAAAGAUUUAUCGCCUUUAGAGCGGCCCGCGUCUGAUUAGCUAGUUGGUUGAGGUAAUGGCUCACCAAGGCGACGAUCAGUAGCUGGUCUGAGAGGAUGAUCAGCCACAUUGGGACUGAGACACGGCCCAAACUCCUACGGGAGGCAGCAGUGGGGAAUCUUGCGCAAUGGGCGAAAGCCUGACGCAGCCAUGCCGCGUGAAUGAUGAAGGUCUUAGGACUGUAAAAUUCUUUCACCGGGGACGAUAAUGACGGUACCCGGAGAAGAAGCCCCGGCUAACUUCGUG